rnacentral:rRNA from 1 species
UACGUAGGGGCAAGCGUUGUCCGGAAUCAUUGGGCGUAAAGCGCGUGUAGGCGGUUCGGUAAGUCGGCUGUGAAAGUCCAGGGCUCAACCCUGGGAUGCCGGUCGAUACUGCCGGACUAGAGUUCGGAAGAGGCGAGUGGAAUUCCCGGUGUAGCGGUGAAAUGCGUAGAUAUCGAGAGGAACACCUGCGGCGAAGGCGGGUUGCUGGGCUGACACGUGACGCUGGAGGCGCGAAAGCUAGGGGAGCGAACGGG